CUUGGGUGGGUGGAAAGAUUUUUUGGUUGGGGAUGGACUCGCGGCCUAUCAGCUUGUUGGUGAGGUAAUGGCUCACCAAGGCGACGACGGGUAGCCGGCCUGAGAGGGUGACCGGCCACACUGGGACUGAGACACGGCCCAGACUCCUACGGGAGGCAGCAGUGGGGAAUAUUGCACAAUGGGCGAAAGCCUGAUGCAGCAACGCCGCGUGAGGGAUGACGGCCUUCGGGUUGUAAACCUCUUUUAGUAGGGAAGAAGCGAAAGUGACGGUACCUGCAGAAAAAGCACCGGCUAACUACGUGCCAGCAGCCGCGGUAAUACGUAGGGUGCAAGCGUUGUCCGGAAUUAUUGGGCGUAAAGAGCUCGUAGGCGGUUUGUCGCGUCUGCUGUGAAAUCCCGAGGCUCAACCUCGGGCUUGCAGUGGGUACGGGCAGACUAGAGUGCGGUAGGGGAGAUUGGAAUUCCUGGUGUAGCGGUGGAAUGCGCAGAUAUCAGGAGGAACACCGAUGGCGAAGGCAGAUCUCUGGGCCGUAACUGACGCUGAGGAGCGAAAGCAUGGGGAGCGAACAGGAUUAGAUACCCUGGUAGUCCAUGCCGUAAACGUUGGGCGCUAGAUGUAGGGACCUUUCCACGGUUUCUGUGUCGUAGCUAACGCAUUAAGCGCCCCGCCUGGGGAGUACGGCCGCAAGGCUAAAACUCAAAGGAAUUGACGGGGGCCCGCACAAGCGGCGGAGCAUGCGGAUUAAUUCGAUGCAACGCGAAGAACCUUACCAAGGCUUGACAUACACCGGAAACGGCCAGAGAUGGUCGCCCCCUUGUGGUCGGUGUACAGGUGGUGCAUGGUUGUCGUCAGCUCGUGUCGUGAGAUGUUGGGUUAAGUCCCGCAACGAGCGCAACCCUCGUUCUAUGUUGCCAGCGGGUUAUGCCGGGGACUCAUAGGAGACUGCCGGGGUCAACUUCGGAGGAAGGUGGGGGAUGACGUCAAAUCAUCAUGCCCCCUAUGUCUUGGGCUUCACGCAUGCUACAAUGGCCGGUACAAAGGGCUGCCGAAUACCGUAAGGUGGAGCGAAUCCCAAAAAGCCCGGUCUCUCCAGU
rnacentral:rRNA from 1 species